rnacentral:tRNA from 1 species
CCUUCAAUAGCUCAGCUAGUAGAGCGGAGGACUGCAGAUCCUUAGGUUGCCGGUUUGAUUCCGGCUUGAAGGA